GAUGAACGCUGGCGGCGCGCCUAACACAUGCAAGUCGAACGAUUAAAGCACCUUUUAGGUGUGUAUAAAGUGGCGAACGGCUGAGUAACACGUGGGCAACCUGCCCUCCUCUUGGGGAUAGCCUCGGGAAACCGAGGAUAAUACCCGAUACUUCACUUGAGCCGCGUGACUCAAGUGAGAAAGCUUUUGCGGAGAAGGAUGGGCCCGCGGCCUGUUAGCUUGUUGGUGGGGUAGAGGCCUACCAAGGCAAUGAUGGGUAGCUGGGUUGAGAGACCGACCAGCCAGAUUGGGACUGAGACACGGCCCAGACUCCUACGGGAGGCAGCAGUGGGGAAUCUUGCACAAUGGGCGAAAGCCUGAUGCAGCGACGCCGCGUGCGGGAAGAAGGCCUUCGGGUUGUAAACCGCUUUCAGCAGGGACGAGGCGAAAGUGACGGUACCUGCAGAAGAAGCCCCGGCUAACUACGUGCCAGCAGCCGCGGUAAUACGUAGGGGGCAAGCGUUAUCCGGAUUCAUUGGGCGUAAAGCGCUCGUAGGCGGUCUGUUAGGUCGGGAGUUAAAUCCGGAGGCUCAACCUCCGCCCGCUCCCGAUACCGGCAGACUUGAGUUUGGUAGGGGAAGGUGGAAUUCCUAGUGUAGCGGUGGAAUGCGCAGAUAUUAGGAAGAACACCAGUGGCGAAGGCGGCCUUCUGGGCCAUAACUGACGCUGAGGAGCGAAAGCUAGGGGAGCAAACAGG
rnacentral:rRNA from 1 species